GCAGCAGGUGGUGGCAGUUACUACCCCAGCCAUGACGGGUCCGGAAACACGCACGACGGAGACGGAUACUCGACCUACGGGAACGCACAGGGUAACACAGUAGCAAAAAUCGUGUCUCCCAUCGUGUCUGUGCUGGUGGUCACGCUGGUGGGGGCGGCGGCUGGUUAUUGCCAACGGAACAGAAGAAGAAACUGUUUCAGGGCAAAUGGCAAGUUUCUGGCUCUAAAAAUACUUCCUGGAGUCUGUCACUGGGCAGGGUUCUUUCUGGGUACGUCCCCUCGAGCGGCCUUGCCUAAGGAAGUGGUUUUAAGUUGGGUCCUCACGGAGGAUGCUUUUCUUUUUUUUUUUUCUCCAUAUUUUUAAGUAGCUUUGUGACCUGCAAAAGUGUGUGUUCCUGCCAGUAACUCACAUAGACUAAAACCUUAUCAGCUCAGGGUUGCAAUCGGCUGGGCUGAUACCAUGUUGAUGGAUCAUAAGAGACUCGGAAAGCAUUUGGGUUUGAACCUGCCGUGUUUGUAUUCCUCUCCAAAAACAAAAGUAUGGAA
rnacentral:lncRNA from 1 species